rnacentral:rRNA from 1 species
CAAGUCGUGGGGCAGCAGGGGUGUAGCAAUACAUCUGCUGGCGACCGGCAAACGGGUGCGUAACACGUACGCAACCUUCCCGUUACUGUGGCAUAGCCCAGGGAAACUUGGAUUAAUACCACAUAUUAUAUUGAGGGGGCAUCCUCUUGAUAUCAAAGCUUCGGCGGUAACGGAUGGGCGUGCGGUUGAUUAGGUAGUUGGCGGGGUAACGGCCCACCAAGCCUACGAUCAAUAGCUGAUGUGAGAGCAUGAUCAGCCACACGGGCACUGAGACACGGGCCCGACUCCUACGGGAGGCAGCAGUAAGGAAUAUUGGGCAAUGGACGAAAGUCUGACCCAGCCAUGCCGCGUGAAGGAUUAAGGUCCUCUGGAUUGUAAACUUCUUUUCUCUGGGGCGAAAAACAGCUAUUCUUAGUUGCUUGACAGUACCAGAGGAAUAAGCACCGGCUAACUCCGUGCCAGCAGCCGCGGUAAUACGGAGGGUGCAAGCGUUAUCCGGAUUCACUGGGUUUAAAGGGUGCGUAGGUGGGCCAGUAAGUCAGUGGUGAAAUCCCCGAGCUUAACUCGGGAACUGCCGUUGAUACUAUUGGUCUUGAAUAUCGUGGAGGUAAGCGGAAUAUGUCAUGUAGCGGUGAAAUGCUUAGAUAUGACAUAGAACACCGAUUGCGAAGGCAGCUUGCUACACGGUCAUUGACACUGAGGCACGAAAGCGUGGGGAUCAAACAGGAUUAGAUACCCUGGUAGUCCACGCCCUAAACUAUGGAUACUCGACAUCAGCGAUACACAGUUGGUGUCUGAGCGAAAGCAUUAAGUAUCCCACCUGGGAAGUACGAUCGCAAGAUUGAAACUCAAAGGAAUUGGCGG